UACAGAGGGGGCAAGCGUUGUUCGGAAUUACUGGGCGUAAAGGGCGCGUAGGCGGCCUUCUAAGUCGAACGUGAAAUCCCCGGGCUCAACCCGGGAACUGCGUCCGAUACUGGAAGGCUUGAAUCCGGGAGAGGGAUGCGGAAUUCCAGGUGUAGCGGUGAAAUGCGUAGAUAUCUGGAGGAACACCGGUGGCGAAGGCGGCAUCCCGGACCGGCAUUGACGCUGAGGCGCGAAAGCCAGGGGAGCAAACGGG
rnacentral:rRNA from 1 species